CGCGUAGAAUCUGCCUUCAGGUUCGGGACAACCCCUGGAAACGGUGGCUAAUACCGAAUGUGCAGCAAUGUGAAAAAUUUAUUGCCUGAAGAUGAGCUCGCGUCUGAUUAGUUAGUAGGUGUGGUAAGAGCGCACCUAGGCGACGAUCAGUAGCUGGUCUGAGAGGAUGAUCAGCCACACUGGGACUGAGACACGGCCCAGACUCCUACGGGAGGCAGCAGUGGGGAAUUUUCCGCAAUGGGCGAAAGCCUGACGGAGCAAUACCGCGUGAGGGAGGAAGGCUCUUGGGUUGUAAACCUCUUUUCUCAAGGAAGAAAAAAAUGACGGUACUUGAGGAAUAAGCAUCGGCUAACUCCGUGCCAGCAGCCGCGGUAAUACGGAGGAUGCAAGCGUUAUCCGGAAUGAUUGGGCGUAAAGCGUCCGCAGGUGGCUAUGUAAGUCUGCUGUUAAAGAGUCUGGCUCAACCAGAUAAAGGCAGUGGAAACUACAUGGCUAGAGUGCGUUCGGGGCAGAGGGAAUUCCUGGUGUAGCGGUGAAAUGCGUAGAGAUCAGGAAGAACACCGGUGGCGAAAGCGCUCUGCUAGGCCGCAACUGACACUGANGGACGAAAGCUAGGGGAGCGAAAGGGAUUANAUACCCCUGUA
rnacentral:rRNA from 1 species